GGUUGCGUGGUGUAAUGGCUAUCACUCGAGGUUUUGAUCCUCGCAAUCGGGGUUCGAUCCCCCGCGCGACCU